rnacentral:rRNA from 1 species
AGGAGGAAAAGAAACCAACAGGGAUUGCCUCAGUAGCGGCGAGUGAAGCGGCAAAAGCUCAAAUUUGAAAUCUGGCGUCUUUGGCGUCCGAGUUGUAAUUUGAAGAAGGUAUCUUUGGGCCCGGCUCUUGUCUAUGUUCCUUGGAACAGGACGUCACAGAGGGUGAGAAUCCCGUGCGAUGAGAUGACCCGGGUCUGUGUAAAGUUCCUUCGACGAGUCGAGUUGUUUGGGAAUGCAGCUCUAAGUGGGUGGUAAAUUCCAUCUAAAGCUAAAUAUUGGCGAGAGACCGAUAGCGAACAAGUACAGUGAUGGAAAGAUGAAAAGAACUUUGAAAAGAGAGUGAAAAAGUACGUGAAAUUGUUGAAAGGGAAGGGCUUGAGAUCAGACUUGGUAUUUUGCAUGUUGCUCUCUCGGGGGCGGCCGCUGCGGUUUACCGGGCCAGCAUCGGUUUGGAGCGGCAGGAUAAUGGCGGAGGAAUGUGGCACGGCUUCUGCUGUGUGUUAUAGCCUCUGACGAUACUGCCAGCCUAG